rnacentral:rRNA from 1 species
CCUACGGGGGGCAGCAGUGGGGAAUAUUGGACAAUGGGGGGAACCCUGAUCCAGCCAUGCCGCGUGUGUGAAGAUGGCCCUCGGGUUGUAAAGCACUUUCAGUGAGGAAGAACGCCUGGUGGUUAAUACCCAUCAGGAAAGACAUCACUCACAGAAGAAGCACCGGCUAACUCCGUGCCAGCAGCCGCGGUAAUACGGAGGGUGCGAGCGUUAAUCGGAAUUACUGGGCGUAAAGCGCGCGUAGGUGGCUUGAUAAGCCGGUUGUGAAAGCCCCGGGCUCAACCUGGGAACGGCAUCCGGAACUGUCAAGCUAGAGUGCAGGAGAGGAAGGUAGAAUUCCCGGUGUAGCGGUGAAAUGCGUAGAGAUCGGGAGGAAUACCAGUGGCGAAGGCGGCCUUCUGGACUGACACUGACACUGAGGUGCGAAAGCGUGGGUAGCAAACAGGAUUAGAUACCCGAGUAGUC